rnacentral:rRNA from 1 species
GUAUUUGCCUUAGUAACUGCGAGUGAAGCGGCAAAAGCUCAAAUUUGAAAUCGGCGUCCUUUGCGGGCAUCGAGUUGUAAUUUGGAGGGAUAACUUCGGUACAGACUACAUCGUAAGUUCCUUGGAACAGGACGUCAUAGAGGGUGAGAAUCCCGUGUCUUGGUGUUUGGCUGUGCCAUGUGAAGUGUCUCCGACGAGUCGAGUUGUUUGGGAAUGCAGCUCAAAAUGGGUGGUAAAUUUCAUCUAAAGCUAAAUAUUGGCGAGAGACCGAUAGCGCACAAGUAGAGUGAUCGAAAGAUGAAAAGCACUUUGAAAAGAGAGUUAAAAAGUACGUGAAAUUGUUGAAAGGGAAGCGCUUGCGACCAGACUCGAUCUUUGGUGAUCAGCCGGGCUUCGGUCCGGUGCCCUUACCAUUGAUUGGGCCAGCAUCGGUUCCGACGGCGGGAUAAAAGGAGGAGGAAUGUGGCUCCCUUCGGGGAGUGUUAUAGCCUUCUUCACAAUGCCGCCAGUUGGGACCGAGGACCGCGCUUCGGCUAGGAUGCUGGCGUAAUGGUCUUAAGCGACCCGUCUUGAAACACGGACCAAGGAGUCUAACAUCUAUGCGAGUGUUCGGGUGGAAAACCCUUGCGCGUAAUGAAAGUGAACGGAGGUGUGAACCCUUUACCGGGUGCAACAUCGACCGGUCCUGAUGUCUUCGGAAGGAUCUGAGUAAGAGCAUAGCUGUUGGGACCCGAAAGAUGGUGAACUAUGCCUGAAUAGGGUGAAGCCAGAGGAAACUCUGGUGGAGGCUCGCAGCGGUUCUGACGUGCAA